GGCCACUGUGCGAAGCAUCCCCGUCCCUGGCAGAGGCCACCGAGACCGGCGGGGAGGUAGGGAACUGGGCUCCGCCGAGGGCCGGGGCUUGGUUCCCCUGGAGACCGGACAAAGGCGAUGCUUUGGGUUUCGGUGAGUGGAUGAACACAUGAAUACAGAGGACAAAGUCUGCCCUGGCUUCACCUUCUGAUGCUGAUGAAUUGGAGAAGAAAAAAGCUUGACUGACUCCAAGGUCUGUGAGGGCAAAGAGCAUCUUGACAUGCAUUUCCAACAUCUUAUGCACAAUCUGGCUCAUUUAUACCCUCAACUGAGAGAAAAAUACCUAGAAGGACUUAAAGACAUGCCUUCUCACGCUGGAUUGAUGUAUUGACUACAGUAUUUCAAGCUGAAAUCACUUGAGGAGUUGUAACUUCAGAAAGGGCUAUUUGCUCCGUCUUUCCCUCCAAGAAGCAAACCACAAAGACUCUUUUGGGACAGAUGUGCUUCACGUAUCCACACUGGACAAUAACCUUGCUCACCAUACAGUGGUCAUCAGACAGCGAUUAACUUGGGUAAACAAACUCUGAGGUGACCUUCCAACAGUUUCUACCUCUCUUCCUCAUGUCUGUCUUCUGGUAGCAUCCCUAGAGUUUACCACCCUGGUCUGGAUACCCAUUUGUGCUGUUAUUCCUUCAGGUCUUAGGUUUUUGGGUUCCUAGAUCCAGCCAGACAGCCACACGAGAAUGGGGAGGGGUGGCAGAGAGAAUCUCUUUCCUAUAACUCACAAUUAACUGUCAUUUACAAAAUUAAAUACAACACUCUCACAUUUUUAAAUUGAAGUUUCCUAACAACAUUUCGAGAGAAUGUUUAAUGGUGA